rnacentral:rRNA from 1 species
UACGGAGGGUGCAAGCGUUAAUCGGAAUUACUGGGCGUAAAGGGUGCGUAGGUGGUUGUAUAAGUUGUCUGUGAAAUCCCUGGGCUCAACCUGGGCAGGUCAGAUAAGACUGUACGACUCGAGUAUAGGAGAGGGUAGUGGAAUUUCCGGUGUAGCGGUGAAAUGCGUAGAGAUCGGAAGGAACACCAGUGGCGAAGGCGGCUACCUGGCCUAAUACUGACACUGAGGCACGAAAGCGUGGGGAGCAAACAGG